UGAACGCUGGCGGCGUGCCUAAUACAUGCAAGUCGAGCGAACAGAUGAGGAGCUUGCUCCUCUGACGUUAGCGGCGGACGGGUGAGUAACACGUGGAUAACCUACCUAUAAGACUGGGAUAACUUCGGGAAACCGGAGCUAAUACCGGAUAAUAUAUUGAACCGCAUGGUUCAAUAGUGAAAGACGGUUUUGCUGUCACUUAUAGAUGGAUCCGCGCCGCAUUAGCUAGUUGGUAAGGUAACGGCUUACCAAGGCAACGAUGCGUAGCCGACCUGAGAGGGUGAUCGGCCACACUGGAGCUGAGACACGGUCCAGACUCCUACGGGAGGCAGCAGUAGGGAAUCUUCCGCAAUGGGCGAAAGCCUGACGGAGCAACGCCGCGUGAGUGAUGAAGGUCUUCGGAUCGUAAAACUCUGUUAUUAGGGAAGAACAAAUGUGUAAGUAACUAUGCACGUCUUGACGGUACCUAAUCAGAAAGCCACGGCUAACUACGUG
rnacentral:rRNA from 1 species